UGCUGCGGCGGGAGGUUCCUGUGCGUGGGGCCGCCGGGCGGGUCUGGAGCGGCAGGAACGAGCGUGUCGCUCGCUGCCCGUGGUGGGGACUGGGGAGCUCGGGGUCCAGCCUCCCGUCAGGCGUGCCCGCCUCUGGGGGAACCCUGGCAGCUCCCUUGGGAGAACGGGGAAGUUGUGGAGGCCGCAGGUGUUCAACGCCUCCCAGUCUCCAGACGAAGGCUCUUCGAUUGGAGAGAGAAAAACAAAUGGGGUUAUCAACGUUUGAGCCCACGUGAGUUCUCCGGGGAGAUGCUGGAAGUGAAUAACAGGGCUGGGAAUUAAAUUGGAAAUGAAAACCCUGAUUUCAGUUCUCCCCUUCCAGUGCAGUAGGUCUUCCCCCGCCCCCGCGACGAAAAAUAGCCAUGCAUAAGCUGUAUGUCAUUCCAUAAUCCCUUUGUGUGGUUUUUUGAGGUGUGUUUUGACACAUUCUGCACCCCUCUGUUGGGCAUCUCGGUGGAGUGACUGGCCAGCUGUGUCCCAGGCUGUCAGAUUCUUUGAGCCUGCAUAAGUAAUACCUUUCUUCGCUUUUGUUACCGAUCAAAUCCCACCGCUGUCAGAAACAGUGCUGCAAAGGAAACGGAGAAGCUUGUGUAUCACUACAGUGGCAGACCCGAGAUGGUGCAGAGCCUAGAGGGUUAAAGCAACAGGAUGAAGUCAGCACAAAGCAGCCCACAAAGACUGGCAAAUAAAUAAAUCAUCCUAAUUACGUUAUUAUUAUGACUUGCCUGAGGUUCAUUGUCUCUUUCUUUCUUACCUGAAUCUCUGUUACAUUUUUCUCCUUGUUCAAGAGAGGUAAUCAAAGGAGACUGUGAGCACUAAAUGGCUCCUGCCCAUUUUGGAUGUUGCUAAAAAUACUACCUUACCUCUCCAUAUCCAGAGGUCAAUUGAAAAAUCAAAAUAAUGAGUUCACCACCCUCCUCUGCACUGAUGGCUGUAGCUCAGGGAGGCUUCCCCAGGCACUUGGAAAUUGCAUUUCUCAAUACAGCUUUGUAAGACUGGCAGAUGUGUUCUGCACAGUUCUGUCCUCUCCUAGCUCUAAGGCAGAUAAAACUAGCUGUGGUACAGCUAAAGGAGAUGAUGUGUUUAACACAUUGCAGUUUGGGUACAUGUCUGUACCUGCUUCUGCUUGUCUCGAGAAAAGGUACCACUGCAGCCCAGCACCAUUACAGUCCUAGACAAGAUGAAAGAGUGGAAAAAUGUUUCAUGAACAAGGGCACAAUGUCUACAUGCAAAGAAAAAAACAAACCAAAAUAUAAAUCCUGGAAUUGAUGGAGAAUCUGACCAAUUAAAAGAGUUUGAUCAGGCAUGAGAGAGUAGAAGGGAAAAAACAGAGCAGAGUAGGAUAGCAAUAAUUUACAUUACUGUUAAGAGCAGGGGGAAAAAAACAUGUUUGGGAAGCUUUUCAUGAUAAAACAAAAAAAAAAAUAAAUAAAACCAAGUAUGGAUGGCGAUGAGACA
rnacentral:lncRNA from 1 species